GGGUGAUUGAAAUGAGUGCUGGAUGUCUGAGUAGAGCUGGGAAGAUAACAUCUUUCAGACACAGCAAAGGAAAGCCCCUUCAGAUGAGUGAGCUUGAAAAGUCACCUGGGCUCAGAUAUAUUUAAACUAUGUUCUUGAGCUUGUAAAUGUCUAUGUUUACUGGGUAUUGAUUUAAUGUCUUAAAUAUCCCAACUUAUCAGGAAUUGGACUGGAUAGGUUGCUAUGAGACUUGAAAAACUGGGGCAAAAUGUGAAUUUUUGACUGAAUUCCAGCCCAAUAGCCUCAGAAGAAUGGUUGGAUGAGAGGUAAUUGAUGAGCAUCAACUUCUGCAAUGCUCCCAAGUACAAGGGCAGCUGAAAUCACCACCUGGUUAUGAAUCACAGCCAUGUCUAGCCCUUCAAAUAAAAAUGGGCUCUGGUAUGAAAAUUUGUCAGUUUGAGAUAUAU
rnacentral:lncRNA from 1 species